rnacentral:rRNA from 1 species
CCUACGGGAGGCAGCAGUGAGGAAUAUUGGUCAAUGGACGAGAGUCUGAACCAGCCAAGUAGCGUGAAGGAUGACUGCCCUAUGGGUUGUAAACUUCUUUUAUAUGGGAAUAAAAUGUUCCACGUGUGGGAUUUUGUAUGUACCAUAUGAAUAAGGAUCGGCUAACUCCGUGCCAGCAGCCGCGGUAAUACGGAGGAUCCGAGCGUUAUCCGGAUUUAUUGGGUUUAAAGGGGGCGUAGGUGGAUUGUUAAGUCAGUUGUGAAAGUUUGCGGCUCAACCGUAAAAUUGCAGUUGAAACUGGCAGUCGUGAGAACAGUAGAGGUAGGCGGAAUUCGUGGUGUAGCGGUGAAAUGCUUAGAUAUCACGAAGAACUCCGAUUGCGAAGGCAGCUCACUGGACUGCAACUGACACUGAGGCUCGAAAGUGUGGGUAUCAAACAGGAUUAGAUACCCCUGUAGUC